UCCAUCUCACAGUGACUGAUUUGUGGGUCGGACAUGGCAGGGGUUGAAAUUCUGGGUUUGCAAGUGGCCAAGGGGCCUGCCCUUCCCGAACCUUAGGCUUCAGUUCUAGGGUGCACAGGAGGAAGCAGGUAUCAGUGAUCUCUGUGUGAGAGCGUUGUGCUCUUAAAUGAUUAAUGAUUUCCUUGAGCGUUUCGUUGUAAAGAAGAUAUGGACUUACAGUUCAGCAUGAAUGAGUUGAGUUCUUGGAAUUGUCCAGUGCCAGUCUCACUGAAGCUGCUCUCUGGCUGCUCAAACCUCACAGCAGGCACCUGCUUUUUCCAUCCUUUUUUUUUUUUCCAUCCAUUUUUGUAGGUGUUCUAGGGGACUUCCAUUUUCAGGCUGUAAGGAUUUAUACACAGGAAACGAAGGUGCUCAACAGCUUCUACGUGUGUGAAGUCACUGUGCAGCCCUCUGGUGGAUUCAAGGAAGUGUCCAGUGAGGACUUGGAGCCUAGUGAAGAUCUAGACCAGCCCUCUUUUGAGGAGACAGGAGAAGACAUCCUGAGUGAAGAGAGCAGUGAGGUUUUGGAUGUGAUCUCCAGCGAGGAGCUGGAUCUCUUUAGUGAUGAGGAGCUGAGUGAAGGCUGUAGCUGGGGCCAAGGCGAGCUUCUCAGUGAGGAGCUGGGCCCCAUAUCUAGUGAGGAGGAAGCCAGCCCCUGGGAUGCAGAGGACGAGCUCAGCGAGGAGUACGCGUCACUGCGGAGUGAGGAGGAGCUUUGUGAGGAGGAGCUCUGCGGGCUGGAGCCAGAGGUGCUGCUGGUUCAAGAAUAAAUUGUAUGCUAGGUGUGGUGGCGCUCACCUGUAAUCCCAGCACUUGGGAGGCUGAGGCAGGAGGAUCACUGUGAAUUCAAGGCCAACCUGAACUACUUAGUGAGACCCUGUCUCAAAAAAACUGGAACAAAGAAAAAUCAUAAAUUGUAAAAGGAUUGUCCCAGGCCUCUGUUUUAUAAGGAGAUUUAAUUCAUUUAUAAAGUUUGUCUAGAAAAAAAA